GGUAGAAUGGCUGAGUAAAGCAUUAGACUGUAAAUCUGAAGACAGAGGUUUAACUCCUCGUUUACCA
rnacentral:tRNA from 1 species